AACGGCGAGUGAAGCGGCAAAAAGCUCAAAAUUUGAAAUCUGGCUCCGUUAGGUGCCCGAGUUGUAAUUUGUAGAGGAUACUUCGGGUGUGGACGCGGCAUAAGUCCCUUGGAACAGGGCGUCAUAGAGGGUGAGAAUCCCGUCUUGAGUCGAUUGUCCAUGCCCAUGCGAAGUUCCUUCGACGAGUCGAGUUGUUUGGGAAUGCAGCUCUAAGUGGGUGGUAAAUUUCAUCUAAAGCUAAAUAUUGGCCGGAGACCGAUAGCGAACAAGUAGAGUGAUCGAAAGGUUAAAAGCACCUUGAAAAGGGAGUUAAAUAGCACGUGAAAUUGUUGAAAGGGAAGCGCUUGCAACCAGACUCGGUCACAGGGGCUCAGCGGGCAUGCGUGCCCGUGUACUCCCCUGUGUUCGGGCCAGCAUCAGUUCUGGCGGUUGGUUAAAGGCCCUUGGAAUGUAUCGUCCUCCGGGACGUCUUAUAGCCAAGGGUGUAAUGCGGCCAGCCGGGACUGAGGAACGCGCUUCGGCACGGAUGCUGGCGUAAUGGUUGUAAGCGACCCGUCUUGAAACACGGACCAAGGAGUCUAACAUCCACGCGAGUGUUCGGGUGUCAAACCCGUGCGCGCAGUGAAAGCGAACGGAGGUGGGAGCCCCUUUAGGGUGCACCAUCGACCGAUCCUGAAGUCUUCGGAUGGAUUUGAGUAAGAGCGUGGCUGUUGGGACCCGAAAGAUGGUGAACUAUGCCUGAAUAGGGUGAAGCCAGAGGAAACUCUGGUGGAGGCUCGCAGCGGUUCUGACGUGCAAAUCGAUCGUCAAAUUU
rnacentral:rRNA from 1 species